AGAGUGGCGCAGGGGUGAGUAACGCGUGGGGACCUACCUCUGACUGGGGGAUAGGGGUUGGAAGGGACCGCUAGGCCGCAAACGCCCUUCUGGGGAAAGAUUUAUCGCGGGAACAUGGACCCGCGUUGGAUUGGAUGAUUGGUGAGGUAACGGCUCACCUGGUGGGCGAUCCAUAGCUGGUUGGAAAGAAUGAUCACCCACACUGGGACUGAAACACGGCCCUCACUCCUACGGGAGGCACCAGUGGGGAAUAUUGGACAAUGGGGGCAACCCUGAUCCAACGAUGCCGCGUGAGUGAAGAAGGCCUUCGGGUUGUAAAGCUCUUUCUCAUGCGAAGAUGAUGACGGUAACAUCAGAAAAACCCCCGGCUAAUUUCCUGCCAGCAGCCGCGGUAAUACCAAAGGGGCUACCGUUGUUCUGAUUUACUGGGCGUAAAGGGCACGCAGGGGGUCUUGCCAGUCUCGGGUGAAAGCCCGGGGCUCAACCCCGGAACUGCCUCUGAUACUGCAUGACUAAACACUAGGAGAGGGUGGUGGAAUUCCCUGUGUACUGGUGAAAUUCGUAGAUGUUGGGAGGAACACCAAUUUCCUGUGCGGCCACCUGGACUAGAUCUGACGCUCAGGUGCGAAAGCGUGGGGAGCAAACAGGAUUAGAUACCCUGGUAGUCCACGCCAUAGACGAUGAGUGCUACUUGUCGGGACUUCGUGGUCGUUGACGCAGCUAACGAUGUAAGCACUCCGCCUGGAGAGUACAGUCGCAAGAGUAACACUCAAAGGAAUUGACUGGGGCCCUCACAAGCGGUGGAGCAUGUG
rnacentral:rRNA from 1 species